UAGUUUAUGAAACAGGUCGUCAAUAAUCGUUUUGUCUCUUUUUUACUAGUACAAAAUUUCAUUUGGUAAAAGAGAUAAAUAUAUAUUUGUUAUUUCUAGUUAUGGCAACAUUUUGUGAUGACGUCACAACAGCUGUAGGUACGUGCCAUUUUUCGCCAUUUUAUGCGCUGUGUUUUGUGGUACUUCUGCUGUCAAGUAGCUGUUUAUGAGAUCGUAUUUUGUGUUUUGCCGAUAAAUUACGAGGAUUUGAUUUGCUAAAUCGAAGUUGAAGUUGAAAAAAGUGUUAUUCAACAUGUCCGUGUAUUGUAUUGUACAGUGUGGUGCCAGAAAGGACAGAAAUCAACCGUAUUUGUCACUUCAUAGGCCAUCUUUCAAUCCAAAAUUGUCGACUGGAUUUACUGAAACAGGUGAUAUUGGAAAACUAAUCCACAGCUGCAACGUCGUCUGUGCUGCCAUUGCCCGUACGUCUGUCUCAUAAGUCAGUACAUGAAAAGUCUGUUCAAGAAGACGAAAUGAAAAAAUUAAAAGAU